AUUUUAAAUGUAGGUUGGUUUUAGAGGAUAAUAUCGUUAUGUACUUGUAUCCGGUGUUAACUUUUUCAUUUGGAAAAUCGAAAGAUUUGACCCCACGCUUAUGUUUUUUCAGAAAAGAUAUCCACUGAACAAAUCAUCUGAAAACUAAGGCUAAUAGGAGAGGAUGAGGAAUACUGUACUUCUGUCAAAAGGUUUAAGUAACUGACGAGCGGGUCAAUCCAACUUGAACUUGAAGUGCAAGUGGGUCUUCAAAAAUGUGGACCACUCAAGGACUUUUCUGUUGGUUGAUGAUGGACUACAAACUGAAUAUUUAACAAAGAAAUCCACUUUGGUGCUUAUUGGCUACUAAUGAUGUGAACUUGUGCAUUUAUUAUACCAAGCAAGUACUUUUACAUUUCCUUGAUGAUACUAGACUUGCAUAUACCGAAUUCAGGUUUAGUUGAUUGAUUGCAGUUCUAAGUUCCUCUCGCAAGAUUA